UGCGUAGGCGGCCUGGUAAGUCUGGCGUGAAAGCCCAGGGCUCAGCCCUGGAAGUGCGCUAGAAACUGCGAGGCUCGAGUGCCGGAGGGGAGAGUGGAAUUCCUGGUGUAGCGGUGAAAUGCGUAGAUAUCAGGAGGAAUACCGGUGGCGAAAGCGACUCUCUGGACGGCAACUGACGCUGAGGCACGAAAGCGUGGGAGCAAACA
rnacentral:rRNA from 1 species